CCCUUAGAUGUUCUGGGCCGCACGCGCGCUACACUGAUGCAUUCAACAAGCCUAGCCUUGACAGAGAGGUCCGGGUAAUCUUUGAAACUGCAUCGUGAUGGGGCUAGAUUAUUGCAAUUAUUAAUCUUCAACGAGGAAUGCCUAGUAAGCGUGAUUCAUCAAAUCGCGUUGAUUACGUCCCUGCCCUUUGUACACACCGCCCGUCGCUCCUACCGAUUGAAUGUGUUGGUGAGGAGCUCGGAUUGGCAGCAGUUGGUGGUUCGCCACCGGCUAUUGCUGAGAAGUCCUCCAAACCGCCCCAUUUAGAGGAAGGAGAAGUCGUAACA
rnacentral:rRNA from 1 species